UACGUAGGCAGCGAGCGUUGUUCGGAAUUACUGGGCGUAAAGCGAGUGUAGGCGGUCUGCCAAGUCCUCCGUGAAAUCUCCCGGCUCAACUGGGAGGGUGCGGCGGAAACUGGCAGGCUUGAGUGCGGGAGAGGAGAGUGGAAUUCCUGGUGUAGCGGUGAAAUGCGUAGAUAUCAGGAGGAACACCGGUGGUGAAGACGGCUCUCUGGACCGCAACUGACGC
rnacentral:rRNA from 1 species